rnacentral:lncRNA from 1 species
CAGAUUCUAAUCCUUCCGGUUGUGAUGGUAUACCGGGGUUAGUAGUAGGAACAGCAGCAGCUAUUUGAUUUAACUGAGAUUCAAUCAUUUUAUUAAAGCUAAUUUGAUUCUUGAUGGCAGUAGAGAAAUUAUCCAUUCUAUUAUUUUUAUUUUCUAGCAUUUUAUCAUUAGAUGCCAAUUUCUUAGAUAAAUUAUCCGUUAGCUUUCCUUGAUUAGACACUAACUCUCUCAAAGGUGGAAAAUUAUUAGCAUUAUUGUUGUAAGAAUUAUUACCUUGAUAAUUACCUGAGUAGUUAGGCCUCUGUUGAUUCCAACCUUGAUUUUGUUGAGGACGGUUGUAGUAGUAGUUGUUGUUGUUGUUGAUGUAGUUCACAUCCUCAAGCAUCUCAGGGCAGUGGUUGCCUGAGUGUCCAGUGUCUCCACACUCCUCACAAGUCAUGUGAGAGUCGUAGAUGUGCAUAACUUCCUUCUUAUCUCCAGCUCUAUCAUCGAGCUUCUUCAUGAGCAGGUCUAGCUUUGCAGACAGCAUGUCUACCUCCUUGAGCUGAUGCAUACCUCCACCUCUCUUGCGUGUCUGGGUCCUCUCUUCAUUCCAGCUUUGGUUGGACGCCAUCUUCUCCACAAGAGCUGUGGCUUGUGGUAUUGUAAGUGAUAAGAAUGCUCCUCCAGCUGCAGCAUCCAUGGUCUCUCGGGCACUGUUGCCGAGCCCAUGAUAAAACAUCUGCAUCAAUAGCCAACUCUCCAUUCCAUGAUGGGGACAUUCUAGGAUGUAGUCUUGAAAGCGCUCCCAUGCUUCUGGAACAGAUUCAUCAUUUUGUUGCUGAAAACUUGUAAUCUUCCCACGGAGAGCAUUGGUCUUGCCCAUGGGAAAGAACUUAGCCAGAAAGUUUGUUGAGCAGAGUGCCCACGUAGUAUUCGUCUCCUUUGUAGCGUAAAACCACUGCUUCGCUCUUCCUAACAGUGAGAAUGGGAAGAGGCGAAGUAGUAUAGCAUCUUUGGAAACUCCUGAUACGGUGAAUGUGUUGCAAAUCUCCAGGAAGUGUUGUAAAUGAGCACUAGCAUCUUCGUGUGCCUUCCCACAGAACUGGUUGGAUUGCACCAUGUUGAUAAGUCCAGGCUUGAGCUCAAAGUUGCCAUCGAUCUCUGCAGCAGGUCCAGUGCGGAUGUUGUCCGUAGUGGGAGCUGAGAACUCGCGGAUUGAUUUGUUCGCCAUGGCUUCGAACUCUGAAGACAAGUUCCGGUAAUCUUCUUGAUUGGAUGAAGCUUCUUGCUGAAGUGUUGAUGAUCUCUUCUUGAGCUUGGCUCUCGUCUUCUUGAAUAAUGCUUCGGGAUUGUCAACAAAAUUUCCUGGAAGAUGUCUUCUAUUCAUACAUUCCCCUACAUAAGAUGAAAUAGGAAAAUAUAGGGGUAAAACUGUAUGAGAGAAUAGAUAAGCUCAAUCAUAUUAGUGAUGCGAAUGAUAACUCAAAAUCUUUUAUUCCAUUCCUGAUUAGUAAUCAACCUUCCCCGGCAACGGCGCCAAAAAUGCUUGUUGGGUUUUCUUAACAUCAUUACCAAAAGUAGACUAAGUUCUCUAAAUCUAGUAACGGUGCCAAAAAUGCCAAACCUAUCCCUCACACCACUUAAGCCAAGUUGUCAUCCCCAGCAUGAUAUAAGAGACGCGGUAUUGAAAUAUGCAAUUGCUCUUCUAAAUAAAUAAUGAAUGGGAUCUGCAAGCGCACAGAUUAAUACCGAUGUAGCAUUUUAACCGGGAAGUAUUCCAGGUAUCGUUAUUUAUAUUUUUACCACUGGGAAGGGAUUAGCAAUCAACAAUAUUGAUUACAGAAUAGAAUAUGAGAUUGAGCAUCUAUCAUUGCAUGUAUAAUUGAGAACAUUAUAUCUAACUCUUCAUACAGGGAUAAGUGUCACAUGAAAGAUAUAUGAAAUAAUAAUAGUGACAAGGAUAACUAAUCUAAUCUAGCCACAUAAUAAAUAUGAUAAGCACCUCAAUUAGAUACUCUAGAAAGUCAUUAGCAUGGUAUUAGAAUGAACUACAAGAAUAUUCCCUAAGUUAUUCUCAACUAUAUAGUCUAGCAUUAUCAUAGUUAGUGCAAGCAUACUUAGCAAUCAUUGUGAGACAAGACUACGCCCAUGCAUAGUGAUAUUAGCAAGGUAAAUGAGAAACAUAGCAAUCACUCCCCUGUAAUAAUGUUGCUCUGCCAGCCCAAUACACGAGAGGGGGACUAUAUAAGAAUCAAUGAAGCUGUCACUAUCACGAACCACCCAUUGGGUACAAUCGCAGAUAAAUACGGUAUAAGCACCACGCCUACACAAUAUCUAUCAUUUACCCAUGGAUCUGAUGGAUAAACGCUAUACGAUCCUAAGCAUGUAUAUAGAUCGAAUCUAACUAAGCCAAGUACAUAACUAUGAUAAACUAAGAACAAUAUAAUCUUGAAUAUAAGCAAGUAGAGCAAAGUCAUAAGCAAUAUAUUGAAGUAGAACAAAGUCAUAUUCAUAAUAUUGAAGAACAAAGAUAAUUAGAAGAACAAUUAGAAGCACAAUUAGAGAAUUACCAAGAAUCCUCUUGAAAGAUCCGGAAACCAAUCGAAGAUUGACUCCUUCUAGUUCUAAUCCUAUGUAGCUAUGCUAAUCUAGAUAUCUAAUUGAUGUGGUGGCUCUAAUCUUGAUCAGAGGCUUCUUCUCCCUUGAAGAACAAUGAAUUAGGGUUGAGAGGCUCUCUCCUCCAGGGGCCAGGGGGUCUGGUUUUAUAGUCCCUUCAAGUGAAUAUGGGCCAUUGGAUCAAACCGACAUAGAUUAUAUGGUUUAGAUUCAUCCUUUAGGUCGGUGGAGGUCUCCCGCGAAGCAGAGUCCUGAUUGGACUCCUGGAGAGGACGGGCGCCCCGACCAACUGGGCGGGCGCCCAGGGUCUGGCCCCGUUUCGCCUCCGCUUCGGUCUCGUGGCUUCUGGAGUCUUCUAGAUGUAAGAUAAUUGCGCGGCACGUUAACAUCUCUAUGUAAUCCCGACGUGUGGGCCUUUCUUCCGUAUUUCCUGAUAACCCCCUGCAGAAAUAGACAAACACCAAAACUCGUGGAAUUCUGUCAGAUAAAACCCUAAGUCUAGAUGUUGAUUUCAUUUGGAUCCUUUUCUUUGUUUAUUUAAUAAUUAAAUUUGAUACUUAAGGACCGUCAACAAACUCCCCCAAGCUUACCUCUUGCUCGUCCCUGAGCGAGGAUAGACUCAGCUAUGGAUCAUAAGUUGUUGCAAUAUUUUUAAAAAUUUGACGGUACACAUGCUUUUAAAUAAGAUCUCAUCUCUGAGUUAGAGUAAACUGUCAAGACUUAAAACUUACUUACUUUACCUUCACCAUGGGACUUGUAACCGUCACUUCUAUCUUGAGUGGUUAAAAGAUAGAACAGUCUAGUCAAGUGCCAUGUCUCUUAUUCUUGAUCAGCUAUAGCUCUGGGGUUUUUGCAGAUUUUCAAAUAAAACUCAGAGAUUCCUUGUAUGAUUCUCUCAGAUCUCUCUUUUGUGGUAUUUCUGGAUCCUUACCAAGGCAGUGAUGGUAUAUGCCUUCUCUCAAUAUAUGUGGUAUUUGUGGUAUAAAGCAUAGUGACAUUGCCUUCUCUCUCACCCUACUCUAAUAAGGCUUUAAUAUCUGGAGCUCAUAGGUGGGAGAUAAAGUAUACAUACUUACAAGACAUGUAUUGCAUAGUCAAACCAUGGAUCCAAAGAAACAAGCCAAUGACUUUAAUCAAGAUGUGCAUGUGUGGUGAAUGAAUGAUGUAUGGUGAUGAUGGUGAUAAUAAUGGUGGUGGAAGUCUAAUUCUACUUUGCUCUUUUGAGGGGAUACAUACCUUUCUUGCUUUUUUGAAACUUUAUGAGGAGAAUGAGAUGCUCUUCUUUUUCUUUUCUCUCAGGUGGGUAUCUUGCACCCCUAAUUCUACUGUCGGACACUUGUCUAUUUUUACCUCUCGUCUCACUCUCUUUUCUUUCGAGGUUCCGAGCAGUUGCUCCUUUUUAUUUCCUCGUAUUUCUCUCUCUCUUUUUUCAGAGCAUUCAUCUCUUGAGAUAAUAUAGCAAGUGGUAGUAACAAUAUAACUUGAGCAUUUAUUUUACAAGGAAAAACAGAAAUAUUUUUGGCUAUUCUCUCCAGGAUUAGGAGUAGAAAAUUUUUGGGUGAUUCUGGAGAUGGAAUGGGUGGAUAUAUGUGGAUGGUACUUCCGGAAUAGAAGUAGCAUAUAUGAGCGAACGUGCAAGUGAAUCUUGAUUUAACCACAUGACAAAUUCCUAAGGGUCUACACAGCUUGACCACACUCAAUGCUCAUAAGCAGUAAAUAGUAAAUGUGUGGCUCAAAGUCUAGCAAGCAUGUAUAUAUGGCUGUGGUAGGAAUUUAAACUCUCAUCAUACAGGAACUCAUCAUGCAACACUUUAAAGAUUUUUUAAAAGAUAAAAUUCUCCAGAAUUCUAGCAUCUCUAGGAACAGAUAAACAGCAGCUCAACCUUCCCAUAUCGUAUCCGUUAACAACUUAGACUUCAGAUCAAGUUUUCAUCCCACAAGUUUAGGUCUAGAGCAAGCUUUAAAUUAUAACAGUUAUAUCUAAACUUGAGAGAGAACUUAAAAUGUGCAAAUUAGGCAGAGCAACUAUUCAUCAUUUCCAUGCUUAAGUUUUAUUUAGAUACAGAUUAGCAUAGCCACUUUAUUUAUUUAUAAACACACUAAGCAAAAGACAUAUAUAUAAGCAUAAAAUAUUUAUUUGGUUUUUCAUAGUUUAUGUAUUUUAAUAUUCUAAUAUAGUAUAAGUAUAAAGAUAGAUAGAUAGAUAGAUAGAAAUACUUAUCGGGAUAAAUGGGGGUGCUCUCCCCCAAGUUGAAUUUUGACGUAAUUUCUCCUGAUGUAGCUAGCAGGUGGCAGAGGUGUAUUUGAAAGUCAGCAGUAUUCUGACAGCGAUUAGAAUGUCCUCCGUCUGCUAGUCUUCUUGAUUCUUAAAUUCUGUAGAGCUCAAAUUGACAACAAAGCUUGUGGAACUGAUUAAGUGUUAGCAUAAAUAUCUAGCCUUUAUCAUGUUGAGACUCCUUAAUAAUUAUUACUCCAUGUUUUUAUAUUUUUUUUUAUUUUAUAAAGCAGAAAAGAAAUAUUUAUUUUAUUUUUAUGCCACCACAGUGAAUGUACUUAUGGGUUUUAUGCCACUCGCAUACUCACAUGGGGCUUACUGUUUUUCGCAUUUUUAUUUUCUUUUAUUUUUAAGAUAGUACGAACAUGAUUAACUAAGUAAACUAGUUGAAAUAAUUGAAAGGGAAAGGAUAACUACCAAGUUUAUCUCUCGGCAAGGCGUUCGGUGUUUUUAAGUCCUCCGAACGGGACUCUCCAUUUUCUUAAUCGUCCUGAGGUUCGUUGGGUGGCGUAGUCGGUACUUCCGGUGGCGCCUCCUCUUCAUGUAUAGUUAUCUUCAUUUUCCACACCUGACUUGGUGCUUCAGUCUCCUCUGGAUAAUUCUGUUUAAACUCUACGUCUUCUGACCUUAUAACUUCUCCUUCAUAGUCUGCCCAUCCGUCCUUGAUGAUCUGCCUCCUCUGGUUGCGGUUGCGUCUUUUCCUUACCUGCUUAGAUUCUUCAAUGAUAUAGUUAGGGUCAGUAAAAUAACGGCGUACCUUCUCUGAGGGGAAGUGCAUAUGGACUUCUCCGGUUCCAAUGUAGAUAAUUGCUUUAACGGUGCUGAGGAACGGUCUUCCAAGGAUGAUGGGUGGAUCAUACUAAUCUUCUCCCAAGUCAAUAACUUGAAAGUCUGUGUAGACAAAGUGAUCGUCUAUUUUGACUGGGACAUCAGUUACUGUUCCUUUAACUUCUCGAAAUGUCUGAUCUGCCAUCUGGAGCUGAAUGUAUGUUGGUCUUAGGGGCAUGGUUUCGAAGAAGAGCCGAUAGGUGACUGCGGCCAUUAUGUUGACGCCCGAUCCGGUGUCACAAGUUGCCUUGUAGAAGUUGUAUCCAUUGAUGGAGCAAUAGAUGCUUGGCAUUCCUGGGUCGUCCUUCUUGGUCAAAAGCGGUGACUUAAGUUGGUGAUCUUGGCCUCCAUGAACUACAGUGACCAUCUUAGCUGACUCGGUCCACACUUGCUUGUUCCUGUUCCUCCUGUUGGUCCUCUUCCUUGAUUGACGUCUGGAUUGAUCUGGAAUUUGUGUAGUCUUGUUCUUGAAGAAAAAUGUCUCCUUCUUCCCUUUGACGUAGAAACUGAUCUUAGCAGCACUGGCGUAGAUGAUAGCUCCCGUGGUGUUCAAGAAUGGCCUCCCUAAGAUGAUAGGUGCUCUCUCAUCAUUUCCGGUCUCUACCACUACGAAGUCUGCUGGGGCAUAUAAGGUACCAACUCGGACACAAAGGUUCUUCACUAUUCCUUUUGGAAAAGUUAUCGUCUGAUCUGCAAACUGCAAACACAUGGUUGUUUCUAAUAAAGGAUAUGUAAAGAAUUUUUCAUAGAGUACCCUGGGUAUAAUGUUGACACUGGAGCCAAAGUCGCAGAGUGCUUCUGGAACGUCCACCAUGCCGAUAGAGAUCGGGAUGACGGGGCGUCCUGGAUCGCCUCUCUUGACCGGCAGAAGGUCAGUAGAAAAUUCAGUGGCGGGGUUACUCCAAUUACCUGCAUCAAACAUGUCUACAAGAUUUGCAGAUUCUAAUCCUUCCGGUUGUGAUGGUAUACCGGGGUUAGUAGUAGGAACAGCAGCAGCUAUUUGAUUUAACUGAGAUUCAAUCAUUUUAUUAAAGCUAAUUUGAUUCUUGAUGGCAGUAGAGAAAUUAUCCAUUCUAUUAUUUAUAUUUUCUAGCAUUUUAUCAUUAGAUGCCAAUUUCUUAGAUAGAUUAUCCGUUAGCUUUCCUUGAUUAGACACUAACUCUCUCAAAGGUGGAAAAUUAUUAGCAUUAUUGUUGUA